UAUGUAUAUAUAUAUAUAUAUAUGUAUGUGUAUAUAUAUAUGUAUAUAUAUAAAUAUAUGUAUGUAUAUGUGUGUGUGUAUAUAUAUAUAUAUAUAUAUAUAUAUAUAUAUAUAUAUAACUAUUUUAAAAUGUUUCAGCUGCAAAGCUGUGGUCAUGCUGGAGCACCAUUGUUGACUGUGCUACACCAUUAUAUGGAACCUCCUCUGGUAUGUGGCAUUUGGUAAAUGAGGGAGUCUGAUGCUGCUGCCCUCAUCUGUGUUUCUGCUGUGAGGUAGGCUUGUCUGGAACCCGUAACAGGAAGAGAUCUAGAUUUGUUUUCAAGACACAUCCACACCAUGCACAUAUAUAUAUGUGUGUGUGUAUAUGUAUAUAUAUAUAUGUGUGUGUGUAUAUGUAUAUAUAUAUGUGUG
rnacentral:lncRNA from 1 species